UGGCGGACGGGUGAGUAACGCGUGAGCAACCUGCCCUUCGGAGGGGGAUAGUGUCUGGAAACGGACAGUAAUACCGCAUAACGUAUUUUUACCGCAUGAUAGAAAUACCAAAACUGAGGUGCCGAAGGAUGGGCUCGCGUUGGAUUAGAUAGUUGGUGGGGUAACGGCCUACCAAGUCGACGAUCCAUAGCCGGACUGAGAGGUUGAACGGCCACAUUGGGACUGAGGCACGGCCCAGACUCCUACGGAAGGCAGCAG
rnacentral:rRNA from 1 species